CACUUCGUGGGCACCGGGCGCGAUGUUGAUCACCGUUGCGUGGCGUUGGAAUAGAGGGGACAGGGAACGGGGAGGGGGAGGGGGUUGGUUAGAACGGGUGUGGUGUCUACGUAGGAGGCGGGGGUUUGCUACCGCUGUUCCUGCGGCCGUUGGGCGCAGAGGAAGGUGGAGGGGGUCGAGCAGAAGAGUGGCCGGCGAAACCUCCUCGGAGGAAAACACGCGGUAGCACCGGCCCGACGCCACUGGUGAUCUCCAGGCGGCGGCCGUCCUCCAGGGAGGAAGAGGUGAUGCUCCGUGGUCGUCUCCUCCUGCUGAGGAGGAAGGUAGGGAUCGGCGCCGCAGGUUGGAGAUUGCGACGAACUUUGGGAUAGGGCUUAGGCCGUCUCCGCGUCGUCGUGCCCUAGGGGAGGUUUUCGUCGACUUCCUUCCCCGCCCGGUACCUCUUCGACGAUCCACACCCGGACUUCGGUACCUACCUAUCGCAUGCCGCUCCUCCGUGACUUGUCUCGCCGCCCGUUCCUGCUUCACUUCGACGCGCGUGGUAGCAGUAUAGGGAGGAGGUGGACGACAAUGAUCUUCGUUCACAUCAUGGUAGAGUAGAGUAGGUGCUCUCGAUAAAAACCGAAUGUACUUCCCUACGUACGAGAAGUAGAACGUCCGUGGACUCGAUAAAUGUGUUCCUCCCCUGGGUCGGAAGAAGUGCCGAGCGCCGUCACAGAGGGUAAAUAAGCAAGCACGCUGUUCCUCCCCUGAGCGGGAAGAAGUGCAGAGCACGUUGUUCCUGGUCGGAGACCGAUAUGAUAACUAAGCACACGUACACGAUUUUUCAUUCUUUUAUGGGAUGACCUAAACCUGCAACUGUUCGUAAUUGUUCAAAAGUGAAAGGGCUGCACCGGUGUCCCCACUAGCUGCGCCUGAUGGCGUCGGAACACCCGCAGCACGAGAAGUUGGUGAGCCUCCACCUGAAGUGGCACUUCGGGCUGCUGGCGCAGCGUGUCUACUAGCAGGUCCACUAGCAUUGCGGCCUCCAGCGGCUCCACCUCCUGGAACUAUGGUAGUAAACCCCCCUCUUUCCUAACCCCAGGUGGUCGUAGACUUGAGGCUCGGAACCAUCUAUGUAUAUCUCUUCACCAUACAAAUCCGAUGACCACCUUGUGAUCCUUUCCAUGGGUGGAAACCAACACACGCAAAUAACAAUUUACCUUAGUGCACUAGAGAACGUCAACUCUACAAGUUACAACGUAGGUACUUAUCACGUUCACAGUUCUACCAGGACACUGGAAUUAAAUAAAACGUGAGCUCCACAGAGAGUAGAAGUAGGUACUUACGACG
rnacentral:rRNA from 1 species